GCCUGGGUGGCUCAGUUGGUUGAGCGUCUGACUUCGGCUCAGGUCAUGAUCUCACGGUUCGUGAGUUUGAGCCCCGUGUCGGGCU
rnacentral:tRNA from 1 species